ensembl:lncRNA
CUUGGUUCCUGGGAGAGGCUUUUCUGUCAGCUGGGCCCUGGACCAUGCACUCUGGGGCCAGGGACCGUCGGGUCGGGUGCUUGGGGGCCGUGGGGCCAUGAGGUCGUGGGGUUGAGUGUUCUGGGGUCGGGAGCUCUGGGACCGAAGCACGGUGGAGUCGGUUACUCGGGGGCGUGGGUUGUGGAGUCGGCUGUUUGGGGUCGGGUGCUCUGGGCUCGGGGACCGUGGAGUCGAGUGCUUGGGGGUCUUGGGGUCGUGAGGCAGGGGGGCCAUGGGUCGUUGCGUCGAGUGCUUUGGGCCGGGGAUUCUGGGGCCCGGGAGGUUGACAAGGGUGUGCCUUGGGAGCAGGUCGCAUGGCUUUUCUGAAGCUCUUGGUCCUGGGGGUCAUGACCCUGGUCUCGCCUACCUCAGAAGGUUUCCUCAGCAAUUGUCAGAGAUCUUAGUAAGAUGCGAAGGCUCUUGCCUUGACGGAUUUUUUGGUCCUGGGGACCCGUGUGGGAGGAAAGUGGUGGGAACUCCGUUUGUAGAGACCUGUUUUUGCGGGGUGAUUUUGCUUUGGUUUGUUUCGUCUCUUACUCUUAUUUGUUUAGUUUACUGGUACAACUACUUUUGGAGACUGUCACUCCGAUGAAGUUCAACGUGUUUAUCUGUACCCUGCAGUUCCAUUUGUCCGUGGAUACCCUGAUGGGUACCCUCCGUGUGAUGCGCGGAAAGCUGUAGGAGACGUGGAUGCAAGUGUUUAUAGCAUCUUCUUGAAUGGCCCCAGACUGGAAGCAGCCCAGGUGUCCAUCGACAACAGAAUGCUCAAAUAAAUUGUAGUGUAGUUAUAUACACGGUGGAAUAUACAAUGAAACUGAAUGAGCUGCAGUUACAAGCAAGAGACUGGAUGAAUGGAAAACAAUUUUGAGCAAAGGAAGCAAGACCGAAACGUGCAAAUAGUACCUUUGUGAUUCCAAUCCUAAAAUUCAGUCAAAAUCAGGCUAAAAUGGAGCACGCUGGUGGUUCAGUGGUUAAGAAUCCGGGUUCAGUUAAGAAAACAAAGGUGGUUCUGCAGAGGGAAAUUAAUACCCUGAGCUAGUAUAAAGGUCCGCUGCUGUUGCUGCUAAGUCGCUUCAGUCGUGUCCGACUUUGUGCGACCCCAUAGACGGCAGCCCACCAGGCUCCUCUGUCCACAGGAUUCUCUAGGCAAGAAUACUGGAGUGGAUUGCCAUUUCCUUCUCCAAUAAAGGUCUAGAAAGAGCUGAAAACAGAAGCUUUGGAACCUCAGGAAGAGAAGCAUUUCUUAGCAAAAAAUAACAACAAAAACUUGGACUACAAACAAACAUCUCUUAUUUUUUUAAUCUCUCUUCACCAGUACUAUUAAAAAAUUUUUUUUAAUGUAAAGAGUUCUCUUUAUUUUUUAGUUAGGC